CAACAACUCCAGUUUCCGAAAAGCAAUUUCUCUCCUCUUGUAACCGUCGCGGCUUUCUUCUUCCUCCUUUUGAAAUUUCUCCUAUGCUCUUCAUUCCUUCUUUGUUUCAUCAAUUAUUCACAUCUUCCAAUUUUCGCUAAACACGUAAGCUUUCCGCUGCACCGUAGUUUUUCGCCGCCGCUGCUCCAAAGUUUCUCCGUGAAAACCAUCCAAAAAAACCAACUCUCAAUUUGCAAUCGCAGAAAGCAAGAAAAUUGUAGUAGCAAUUUGCUCGUUCAUUCAAUACUCGUUGCCAUCGGAAUACUGAAAAACACUCGAACCAUCGAGAAAGGUU